ensembl:lncRNA
GUGCCACCUCUACCUUCGCUUUGUCCCACCCCAGGCUGCAGCCACCCGCAGCAGGGGCAUGGGGAGAAGGGGUCACCCAGAGGCACCUCUGUCCUGCAGCCCCCCAUGGCUGGGAUGUCCCCACUGAGGUCACCUCAAUCUGAGAUCCUCCAAAGGACACCUCUUUCUCCAGCCCCUCCAGCCCUGUUAGUUGUGCGCUGAUGUCUGGACUGAAGAUACGGGCUUCACCCCACCGAGGCAGAAAACACUGAUGGAAAGAGAGAUCAGGAUCAGCUCUACCAAUCCCAGGUUGCUCUGUAAAUCAGAAGAGGAUCGUACUCGGCUCCGUUUUUGCAAAUAGGAAACCUGGAGCGGAGAUGCACCGCUUUAUUACUUGCCGGGCAAAGAAGCCAACUGAAUAGCCAACACGCAAGUCAGCUAUACGUGGAAGAUUGUGUGUGAGCUGCUAUCAAAUACUGCAUUUUGUACGAAUCUGGUCACAAAAACUGCAGGAGGGAAAAAAUAAGAAAAUAAACCUUCAGGACAGCUAUUCCAAGGCAGCUCUUAGCCAUACUGAGCCACCGUGGGGACUGCAGUGUCGCUCUUCAGGGCUGGCAGGAUCUAGAAGAGCCCUUGGGUAGACUGGAGCUUCUAAGACAUCCUUACUGUCCUGUAAUUUCCCUUCCUACCACAUCUACAUGUCAAGCAUCAGCUCUUGUAAAACAUCUUGUUUUCAUGUCAUGCUAGCACUUGCAAGCCUGUUGCCCUCAAAAGGACCACCCUUUCGCUAUGAUGUAUAAUAUAACGUCUAGCACAGGUGAGUCCUACAGCCUGCCGGCCUGGAUAUUGUCAAAGAAAUAAUGGCUGCAAAACGUUUUUCAGAGGGUUUAGGAGCAGAAGGGGAAUUACAGGACAACCACUGGAAAAACCACUGCUCCUAAGUUGACGCAUCUCCGCUUUUCAGAGAUGGAUGGAGACGUCCCUACACAGAGGUGCUAAUGGAGAGAAGUCCCAGCAGGGAAGAAUAUGAAAUAGUGGGUCUGCCAGAGGGAUUCCUGGGCUUUUCAGUGGCUGGAGGGAAAAGGGGGAAAAAAAAUAUAAAGACAGUAGCUGUAAUGUUUGUAAUAUCAAUUUGACAACUGAUAAAAACUAUAAAAUAAUAAUCAUAAGUGAGAUAGACACGGAUGCCCCGUGGCAUUGCAAAGUAUGAUAGGAAAGAUUAAUAAAAUAGACGUCAGCUUCUUGAAUUGCUAUUGCAGCAUUAAUUCCCCCCGUGCCAGUUGCUGUAUGCCUUCCUUGAUACGAUCAGGAGGAAAACAUCUAAUCUGACGUGACAACCUCAUUGUAUUAGGAGUCAUCUCUGCUUUAAAACACGUGUCAUAUGACCGAACGCCCCGCUCAGGGUACAAUGCACCCCUCAGUAAAAUCGGGCAGAGCUCAUCCUUAAAUGCCCUGCCAAAAAUAUUCCCAACAAAGGCCAACAAGAAAACAUAAUUCAAAUGAGGGACAUCUGCUCCCUAAUGUUUGCAGAUAAUGACUGGAUCGAGCGGCCGCAUAAAGGAGAAUUAUUUUCUGCAGAUGGUUUGAUCUGAUACUUCAAACUGUGUGCGAGAUCUUUGUCCCAGCCGCCCUGCAAAGUGUGUGGGGUUUUGCCGGCGUGAGACUUCUCCCCCAUCCUCUGGUUUCGUAAAUGCAAGGGUGACUGAAAGUGUGGAAGUUGCAGAAGGCAAAAUAGAGCAUGUAUGCGUCGUGCAGGUUUCAGAGGGGAGCCCACUAAUGGUGGACCCUCAACCAGCCUCCAGAAGCCGGUGCUCCCCUCAGGAAGCCGCUGGUCCCGAGCAAGGAGGAUCUUGCAAGGAGCCCAAGGAUGCAGCUGUCGGCCAUCGUAGGAGCAGGUUUUAAUUACCUCGUGUCCUACGUGCGUCAUCACCCCCACAUCUGUGAAUAGCUCCACCAAAGACCGGGGCAAUCGAGAAGGAGGUCAUACUUCUGCUUUAGUAUACGCCGACAAACGACUGUGGCUCUGGGAACAACACACUGAGACGUUUGGAAUGGAAGGGAUUCCUCCUCUCGAUCAGCGCCACUGACAGCCCA